ensembl:snRNA U6 U6 spliceosomal RNA
GUGCUCGCUUUGGCAGCACACAUACGAAAAUUGGAACAAUACAGAGAAGAGUAGCAUGGCCCCUGCACAAGGAUGAUGCACAAAUCCAUGAAGCAUAUAUUUU